rnacentral:rRNA from 1 species
CCUACGGGAUGCAGCAGUGAGGAAUAUUGGUCAAUGGACGAGAGUCUGAACCAGCCAAGUAGCGUGAAGGAUGACUGCUCUAUGGGUUGUAAACUUCUUUUAUAUGGGAAUAAAAGUUUCCACGUGUGGGAAUUUGCAUGUACCCUAUGAAUAAGGAUCGGCUAACUCCGUGCCAGCAGCCGCGGUAAUACGGAGGAUGCGAGCGUUAUCCGGAUUUAUUGGGUUUAAAGGGAGCGUAGGUGGGUUGUUAAGUCAGUUGUGAAAGUUUGUGGCGCAACCGUAAAAUUGCAGUUGAAACUGGCAGUCUUGAGUACGGUAGAGGUGGGCGGAAGGCGUGGUGUAGCGGUGAAAUGCAUAGAUAUCACGAAGAACUCCGAUUGCGAAGGCAGUUCACU